UCUAACAAAUAAUGUGCGCGUCGUUUUUACGAGCGAUGUGCACACGUUGAUGAGCUUUUCCGAAAAAACCAGGUUUUUUUUGGUGGCGCAUAAUGAACAGCGUGGGCUUUUUCUUCGAUUCUCGUGUAGUAAAUUUCCAAACAACGCUUGGGUUGAGAAAAAGUGCGUGCCGCGCAAUGGGUGUGGCGAAUUUACCCCUGCCCCAAUGCCACUCUUUCCCUGCGAAAGAACAAUCUUUUAU
rnacentral:misc_RNA from 1 species